GAUGAACGCUGGCGGCGUGCCUAAUACAUGCAAGUCGAGCGAACAGAUGAGGAUUUUGCUCGUCUGACGUUAGCGGCGGACGGGUGAGUAACACGUGUAUAACCUACCUAUAAGACUGGGAUAACUUCGGGAAACCGGAGCUAAUACCGGAUAAUAUAUUGAACCGCGGGGUUCAAUAGUGAAAGACGGUUUUGCUGUCACUAAUAGAGGGAUCCGCGCUGCAUUAGCUAGUUGGUAAGGUAACGGCUUACCAAGGCUAGCAUGCGUAGCCGAACUGAGAGGGUGGUCGGCCACACUGGAAGUGAGCCACGGUCCCGACUCCUACGGGAGGCAGCAGUAGGGAACCUUAGGCAAUGGGCGAAAGCCUGGCGGAGCAACGGCGAGUGAGUGAUGAAGGUCUUCGGAUCGUAAAACUCUGUUAUUAGGGAAGAACAGAUGUGUAAGUAACUAUGCACGUAUUGACGGUACCUAAUAAGAAAGCCACGGCUAACUACGUG
rnacentral:rRNA from 1 species